UACGGAGGAUGCAAGCGUUAUCCGGAAUCACUGGGCGUAAAGCGUCUGUAGGCGGUUUAAUAAGUCAACUGUUAAAUCUUGAGGCUCAACCUCAAAAUCGCAGUCGAAACUAUUAGGCUAGAGUAUAGUAGGGGUAAAGGGAAUUUCCAGUGGAGCGGUGAAAUGCGUAGAGAUUGGAAAGAACACCGAUGGCGAAGGCAGUUUACUGGGCUAUUACUAACACUCAGAGACGAAAGCGAGGGUAGCAAAUAGG
rnacentral:rRNA from 1 species